rnacentral:rRNA from 1 species
CCUACGGGAGGCAGCAGUGAGGAAUAUUGGUCAAUGGGCGCAAGUCUGAACCAGCCAUGCCGCGUGCAGGAAGACGGCUCUAUGAAUUGUAAACUGCUUUUGUGCGGGGGUAAACGCAGAUACGUGUAUCUGUCUGAAAGGAUCGUACGAAUAAAGAUCGGCUAACUCCGUGCCAGCAGCCGCGGUAAUACGGAGGAUUAAAGCGUUAUCCGGAUUUAGUGGGUUUAAAGGGUGCGUAGGCGGUCGGAUAAGUUAGAGGUGAAAUCCCGAGGCUCAACUUCGGAAUUGCCUUUGAUACUGUUCGGCUAGAGAGUAGGUGCGGUAGGCGGAAUGCAUGGUGUAGCGGUGAAAUGCUUAGAGAUCAUACAGAACACCGAUUGCGAAGGCAGCUUACCAAGCUACUUCUGACGUUGAGGCACGAAAGCGUGGGGAGCAAACAGGAUUAGAUACCCCGGUAGUC